UACGAAGGGGGCUAGCGUUGCUCGGAAUCACUGGGCGUAAAGCGCACGUAGGCGGGUUCUUAAGUCAGGGGUGAAAUCCUGGAGCUCAACUCCAGAACUGCCUUUGAUACUGAGGAUCUUGAGUUCGGGAGAGGUGAGUGGAACUGCGAGUGUAGAGGUGAAAUUCGUAGAUAUUCGCAAGAACACCAGUGGCGAAGGCGGCUCACUGGCCCGAUACUGACGCUGAGGCACGAAAGCGUGGGGAGCAAACAGG
rnacentral:rRNA from 1 species